rnacentral:rRNA from 1 species
UACAUGGGGUGCAAACGUUGCUCGGAAUUAUUGGGCGUAAAGCGCGCGUAGGCGGUUACUCAAGUCGGAUGUGAAAGCCCUCGGCUUAACUGAGGAAGUGCACCCGAAACUGAGUAGCUAGAGUACUAAAGAGGGUCGCGGAAUUCCCGGUGUAGAGGUGAAAUUCGUAGAUAUCGGGAGGAACACCGGUGGCGAAGGCGGCGACCUGGGUCGACACUGACGCUGAGGCGCGAAAGCGUGGGGAGCAAACAGG